rnacentral:rRNA from 1 species
UACGAGAGCCUCGAGCGUUAUCCGGAAUUAUUGGGCGUAAAGGGUGCGUAGGUUGUUCUGUUAGUCAAUUGUUAAAGACCUGGGCUCAACCUCGGAACUGCCUUCGAUACUGCGGGUCUCGAGUCCGGGAGAGGUGAGUGGAAUUCCUAGUGUAGAGGUGAAAUUCGUAGAUAUUAGGAAGAACACCAGUGGCGAAGGCGGCUCACUGGCCCGGUACUGACGCUGAGGCGCGAAAGCGUGGGGAGCAAACAGG